GCUGGGUGUGGUGGCAGGCACCUGUAAUCCCAGCUACUUGGGAGGCUGAGGCAGAAGAAUUGCUUGAGCCCAGGAUGUGGAGGUUGUGGUGAGCUAAGAUCACACCAUUGCACUCCAGCCUGGGCAACAGAGUGAGACUCUGUCUCAA
ensembl:misc_RNA Metazoa_SRP Metazoan signal recognition particle RNA